CCAAGUUUCAAACCUUAAGGAUUCAAUAAGCAAUCUUGAAAGAAGGACACCACCUUAGAAAAGAUGAGGUUUGCCAACCUCUUCAUUCCUCCUUCAACAACUCACCUGACAUUCACGAGCGUCUUCAGUGGGCAAUGGUCCGUGCAAGUCUCCAUGGUGAUACAGAAAUGAAUGAACAUGAACCUGAACAAAAAUUAUAGCACAAAUUGGGGAAUGAGUCAGUGUCAAGCUCUACAAAGUUUUACAAAAAUCAGAGAAGAGAGAGAUCGUUAGAUGGAAGGCCUUAGGAAGUAGGCGGGAUUUGAAUUUGGUCUUAGAUGGGUAAUUAGGGUGAGGUGGGGGCGGCGAGGAGUAGGGGGUUUGGAUGCUCUGUAGCCUAUUUUGAUGGAAGUGGAAAUUACAGCUGUGUGGCCUCGAUGACAGUGUGACCUAUAAAUGUACCUGUUUGUUUUCUAGAGAAAGCCAUUAAAACGAGGUAGGGUAGUUCUCUUUGCUGUCACUGAAUAAUGUGAAAAGUAUCAGUGGGAGAUACAUCCCUCUGCCCUCUGGACACACCCUCCACCCGUCUCCUCCUCUCCUCCCUGGCAGGAAGGCCUGUAGAGACCAGUGUCGAGGACCUUCUCCUUACCUGUUGGUUUGGCCAGAGGGGUGACCUCUAAAAAGCAGGAGGCUGUAGCAAGAAGCCAACAUUCACAGCAAGGUUCUGGGCUUCUCUGCGGCCUUCUUCUGCGGUGGGUUAUUUCCACUACGUUCCCAGGCAGGCUUCGCUUCUCGCAGAAGUGAGAAAAGACCGUGUCAGCAGCCCCCAGCUCAGAGCCGGCUCUCCUAAGAAGAUGCUCACUUUUCAGGAGUUAGGGGUGGUGGCCAAGAGCUCCACUUGACCCAACCUCCUCUGUGCCAUUAAGGGAAGUUAAUUAAAACAGUGUGGGCUCCUGUCCAUGCACCGCGUAUUUCCUGGUUGAUUCAGCAGUUCCAAAGGAGGCUAGAAGUUU
rnacentral:lncRNA from 1 species